rnacentral:rRNA from 1 species
GACGAACGCUGGCGGCGUGCUUAACACAUGCAAGUCGAACGGAAAGGCCCUGCUUGCAGGGUACUCGAGUGGCGAACGGGUGAGUAACACGUGGGUGAUCUGCCCUGCACUUCGGGAUAAGCCUGGGAAACUGGGUCUAAUACCGGAUAGGAGCCAUUUUUAGUGUGAUGGUUGGAAAGAUUUUUCGGUGUAGGAUGAGCUCGCGGCCUAUCAGCUUGUUGGUGGGGUAAUGGCCUACCAAGGCGGCGACGGGUAGCCGGCCUGAGAGGGUGGACGGCCACAUUGGGACUGAGAUACGGCCCAGACUCCUACGGGAGGCAGCAGUGGGGAAUAUUGCACAAUGGGCGCAAGCCUGAUGCAGCGACGCCGCGUGGGGGAUGACGGCCUUCGGGUUGUAAACUCCUUUCGCUAGGGACGAAGCUUUUUGUGACGGUACCUAGAUAAGAAGCACCGGCUAACUACGUG